UUCAUCCGCUGCUACCCUGAACAGGCCCGAUCCCUUCUGAUCUCGGAAGCUAAGUAGGGUUGGGCCUGGUUAGUACUUGGAUGGGAGACCACCUAGGAAGACCAGGUGCUGUAGGCG
rnacentral:rRNA from 1 species